rnacentral:rRNA from 1 species
AGAGUUUGAUCCUGGCUCAGGACGGACGCUGGCGGCGUGCUUAACACAUGCAAGUCGAACGGAAAGGCCUCUUCGGAGGUACUCGAGUGGCGAACGGGUGAGUAACACGUGGGCAAUCUGCCCUGCACUUCGGGAUAAGCCUGGGAAACUGGGUCUAAUACCGGAUAGGACCACGAGACGCAUGUCUUGUGGUGGAAAGCUUUUGCGGUGUGGGAUGGGCCCGCGGCCUAUCAGCUUGUUGGUGGGGUGACGGCCUACCAAGGCGACGACGGGUAGCCGGCCUGAGAGGGUGUCCGGCCACACUGGGACUGAGAUACGGCCCAGACUCCUACGGGAGGCAGCAGUGGGGAAUAUUGCACAAUGGGCGCAAGCCUGAUGCAGCGACGCCGCGUGGGGGAUGACGGCCUUCGGGUUGUAAACCUCUUUCACCAUCGACGAAGGUUCGGGUUUUCUCGGAUUGACGGUAGGUGGAGAAGAAGCACCGGCCAACUACGUGCCAGCAGCCGCGGUAAUACGUAGGGUGCGAGCGUUGUCCGGAAUUACUGGGCGUAAAGAGCUCGUAGGUGGUUUGUCGCGUUGUUCGUGAAAUCUCACGGCUUAACUGUGAGCGUGCGGGCGAUACGGGCAGACUAGAGUACUGCAGGGGAGACUGGAAUUCCUGGUGUAGCGGGAAUGCGCAGAUAUCAGGAGGAACACCGGUGGCGAAGGCGGGUCUCUGGGCAGUAACUGACGCUGAGGAGCGAAAGCGUGGGGAGCGAACAGGAUUAGAUACCCUAGUAGUCC